rnacentral:lncRNA from 1 species
CGGCCGCCACGUGGCAGGUUCAUUUUUUUUUACUUUUUGUUUUAUUUUUUUCGUCCGAAAUAAAAGUGCAGUUUUGCAGAAAAGCCCCCAGUGUUUCAAACCGUCAUAACUUUUAAACCACUUGUCCAAAAUUCACGAUCCACACCUUUUUGGAAUCCUUAGGAAAUAUAGAAUAUUUUGGCACUGUCCAAUUUCAAAUUUGAAUAUCUUAAUCACAUUCAAAUUACAGAUUAGAGUUUUAUGCCAUUUAAAUCAUAACUAUUUAUUUAGAAAUCCUUUUUUAAUUGAAACCAGUGCCUAAAAUUUUGUUUAAUCAUUCUCUGUCCUUUGGGAUAGAGAAAUAAAUAUUUUGAACUAAAUUAUUUGGGUGAUGCCAAUAAAACUAUAAUUUAGGGUUUAAUCAAUUGUUUUUGCCUUUUGUUUAAAACCCUAAUGCAUUACUUUUAAGUACCAAUGCUUUGGAUCAGUUGAUCACCCAAAUAAAAUAAAACAAAUCAUGUCACAUGUUGCAUUGCAUCAUAGCAUAUCUUAAUUUGUCGUGAUGUGAAUUGUGUGUUUAUGUAUGUGU